CUGAGUUUUCAAAACUCCCAAACCCAUGUGAACUUACCUAUGUUGCCUCGGUGGGAGCCUACCCUGUACCUACCCUGUAACGGGUUACCCGGGAGCGGCCCCACCGGUGGACUUUUUAACUCUUGUUAUUUUAUGUAAUCUGAGAGUCUUAUUUUAAAUAAGUCA
rnacentral:misc_RNA from 1 species